rnacentral:lncRNA from 1 species
AUCACUAAAAUAGGGCCAUGUGUCUCAUCCUUAUACUAAAUUUAAUGCAUUUUACAGGUUUCAGGAAUGAGAGUGUUGAAAUGGGCACCAACAUAACGUUACCCUGUACCACAGAAAAGAUGAUGAUUUAUGUAAUCUGGAAAAUCUACUCACGAGAGAAGACCUGUACAAUCUCUGUGACCACAAUCGAUACUGACUACGACAACUGUAAUGAUGGAAAGCAGAUAAUCAGUAAAGAUGGAGAUUACAGCUUGUUCAUCCCUCAGUUUUCAAUCAAGAAUGAAGGCCAGUACAUCUGUGACGUGUCUCACCGUGCCGGGGGCUUUACAGAAACAAUUCAUGUGUCUGCAUACGUCCGUCCGACACUGACUGGCUGGCUGGAAAAGGAUGAAGAUGGUCACACUUUUGCCGUCUGUGAAGCUCAGAGUAAACCAGCAGCUUCCAUUUACUGGGAAUCCCAGUGGAACAUCUCCUCACUCAGAACGAGCUCAUCUAAAAACGACAGUGGACUUUUCACAGUGACGAGCCGUUUACAGCUUCCUCAUGAUGCAUCUUACGCUGAUCUGACCUGCGUGGUCUCUGCCAGCCCCUCCAACUACUGGAAAGAGAUUCAAUUCAACACCUUCGGGUAUAAGGGCUAUUGCGCACUAUUGGAUUUGUCUGGGUAUUUUUGCCUUUUUCAUCAUAACACAUUUGAUCAUCUUUGCCGUCUUUUUGAUCAUUAAAAAAUGUGGCCUGCAUGUCUGAAAUCUCAACACCAAAAGAAGAAAACUCAAAGGUAAAGCAUUUUAUUUUGUAAUUAUGUAAUUUAAAUCAUUCUUUAGAUUCAAUUGUAUUUAUUUUUUUCAGUUACCUAACUUGGAAUGUAAGAUUUCCAUGUGAUGUAAUAGGCUGGUGGUAAUGGGUAUUUGUUUCUGGUUUUAGGAAUAUGAAGAAGAAGUGAAGGUGGAAAGUGGCUUGUAUGUGAAUGUUAACCAACUUAUGACCUGUUUAGACUUGAGACUUAAGACAUACAAAAGUGCAGUGUUUAAGGGAAGCUGCAAAAUAACUCAGAGAUGGUGAACUUCCUGCAGGUCUUGAUAGCAGGUGGGAUCAAACAUUAUAAAAGUGGAUAUCUGCAUUUUUUGGAAUCUGAAAAAAUGUGUCCGGGUGGGAUUUUUUAAAUGAAAGGAUAUUGCGUUAAUUUCUACAGUCUAUUUCCAACGCAAAAAGACAAUAUGCAUAAAAUAUAUUAUAUCAUAUAUAAAUAUGUGUGUGUGAAUGUGUCAUGUUUUUGUCUGGAUGUGCCCAUGCAAGCCUUCUUAUUCUUAUUUAUU